GAACGCUAGCGACAGGCCUAACACAUGCAAGUCGAGGGGCAGCACAAGGAGCAAUCUGAGGUGGCGACCGGCGCACGGGUGAGUAACACGUAUGCAACCUGCCUGUAAGCGGGGAAUAACCCAUUGAAAGACGGACUAAUACCGCAUAAUACUAAAUUACUGCAUGGUAAUUAUUUAAACAUUUAUGGCUUACAGAUGGGCAUGCGCAUGAUUAGCUAGUUGGAGAGGUAACGGCUCCCCAAGGCAACGAUCAUUAGGGGUUCUGAGAGGAAGGUCCCCACACUGGUACUGAGACACGGACCAGACUCCUACGGGAGGCAGCAGUGAGGAAUAUUGGUCAAUGGACGAGAGUCUGAACCAGCCAAGUCGCGUGCAGGAAGAAUGUCCUUAAUGGAUUGCAAACUGUCUUUUGCGAGGGGAAUAAAGUGCAUCACGUGUGAUGUUCUGUAUGUACUCUGCGAAUAAGGAUCGGCUAACUCCGUGCCAGCCGCCGC
rnacentral:rRNA from 1 species